UUGGCCGGAACGUGUCAUAAACACAGGCGUCGCUGCGCGUGACGUUACUGUCGUUCGAUAGGGAGCUUUGCAUUCUUCUGUUUCAGAUGAUGUUUUGAGCGUUACUCUGGUAAUCAAACAUGGGGAAAUCGUUCGCCAAUUUCAUGUGCAAGAAGGAUUUUCAUCCUGCAUCCAAAUCCAACAUAAAAAAGGUAUGGAUCGCAGAGCAGAAAUUAACCUUCGAGAAGAAGAAGCAGGAGGACUUGAUGAAUGCUUACCUGAAGGAGCAGGACACUUACAACAACAGGGUGCUGAUGGGUGAUGAUCGUGUGAAGAGUGGCCUUAAUUUCAUGUAUGAAGCCCCUCCGGGUGCAUCUAAGGAAGAGACUAAAGAGAAAGAGGGAGAAGAAUCCGAGUACAAGUUUGAGUGGCAGAAAGGAGCUCCUCGUGAGAUGUAUGCAAAAGAUGACAUGAAUAUUCGUGAUCAGCCUUUUGGGAUUCAGGUGAGGAAUGUGAGGUGCAUUAAGUGUCAUAAGUGGGGUCAUGUGAACACCGAUCGUGAGUGUCCUCUCUUUGGCCUGUCGGGGAUUAAUGCCAGCUCUAUGCCCAGCGAUGAGGCAGGUCCGUCAAUGCACCCCUCCGAGUUAAUGGCAGAGAUGCGAAGCAGUGGCUUUGCUCUGAAGAAAUGUGUUCUUGGGAGGGACGCCACCAUGCGUGAUCCAGCACAGGAGUUUUUGGGCAGUGAGGAAGAGGAGGAUCCUGAAGUGGAGUUCCUUAAAUCUCUAUCUACCAAACAGAAGCAGAAAUUGCUGAGAAAACUUGAUCGUCUUGAGAAGAAGAAGAAAGAGAAGAAAAAGAAGAGUAAAAAGGAAAAGAAGAAGAAGAACAAAAAGAAGCAGAAGAAACAAUCCAAGAGUGAGACUUCAUCCAGCAGCUCUUCAGAUGACAGCGGCAGUGACUCCGAGCAGGAGGAACGUUCUGGGAAGAAAGCCAGAAAAAAAAGCAAGAGAAAAGACUCUUCCAGUGAUAGCGGCUCUGAAAGAGAGCACCGGGAACAUGAACACUCACACAGUGUGUCUAAACAACGCUCUCCAGCACGUAAUGAACGGGCCUACAGAGGAGAAGAGGUUCACAGAUCAUCAGAGGACAAGGACAGAAUGAGACGGGACGACAGAGAGAGAUGCAGGGAGCAGAGAGAGAGGAGUGAAGACAGAAACGUAAGUGGACAGAGAGGGAGAGAGGAACGAGACGGGAGCAAAGGGAGAAGGAGGGAGAAACGAGACCGGAGCGAAGAGAGAGGGAGAGAGAAACGAAAUGGGAGCAGAGAGAGGAGAAGGGAGGAGGAACGAGACCGGAGUGAAGAGAGAGGGAUAGAUAAACGAAAUGGGAGCAGAGAGAGGAGGAGGGAGGAGGAACGAGACCGGAGCGAAGAGAGAGGGAGAGAUAAACGAGAUGGGAGCAGAGAGAGGAGGAGGGAGGAACGAGACCGGAGCAGAAGCCCUCAGAGAUACAAGAAAUACAGUGGGAAGGAGAGACACAGAAGCAUCAGCAGAGAGAAAGGGAGGGAGAAAACAGACAGGAGCAGAAGUGGAGAAAGGCCCAGUGGUAGAGGCAUAGAAAGAAGUGUCAGUCGGGAGCGGAGACGGGACGGAGAAAAAGUGAGAAGUAAUAGCAGAGAUGCAGGGAGAAGAAAAGAAAAACAGUAGCCACAACCCAAAAUAUGUCGAACCUUCAAAUUAGGACCAGUCACCGCAGAAGAUUACACCUGGAUGAAGAGGACUGAUUUCACAACAGGUCUGAUCUGGUCUGUGUGUGCACCACAUCUCUCUAUUUGCAGGAAGUCACAACGGCGCGCCGCAUCUCAAGGUUUCCUCUUCUGCAUCACUGAGCCAGAUAAAAACACUGACUUCAGGCACCACCAACGCUGCCGUUCGCCCUCGCAAACACACUCACACCUGCCAGGACGUAACGUGCAGAAGGAAGACGCAGCCGCUGCUGUCCCCACUGGAGCAGAGAGGACGCGAGCCUUUGAUGUUCCACUCAAAAUUAUUAAUUCCCAGCGUCAGGUUUGCAGUUUCAUCUGCGUUUCAAGUCGGAAUCUCACUGUUCGAGCAAAGCUUCUGCUAUGCAAAUCAGUGCCUAAUGUGCAUGCUGAGUUUGGUGGGAAUCUUAAUGUAUUAGUUUAGAGAAAACGAAUGACAUCGGUGUCAGUUGAUAUUGAUCUGAAAGCUUGAUAGACGCUCCCUGCUGGGCAUCAGAUGAGCUUCAUGUCUCCGCAAGGCCUUUAAAAACCCCACGCCAAAAGUUUUGGCACAUGACUUGAAAACUAAUGUCUGACAUAGAGUAACACAUUAGCAUACAUGCUUAACUGUUUGAUUAAACACAAGAUACAUGACCUCAAUAUGACAAUAAUCAA